UACGUAGGGGGCAAGCGUUGUCCGGAAUUACUGGGCGUAAAGCGCGUGUAGGCGGGACGGCAAGUCGGACGUGAAAGGCUGGGGCUCAACCCCAGAUCGCCGUUCGAAACUGCCGUUCUUGAGGGUCGAAGAGGAGAGUGGAAUUCCUGGUGUAGCGGUGAAAUGCGUAGAGAUCAGGAGGAACACCGGUGGCGAAGGCGGUUCUCUGGGCAUUACCUGACGCUGAGGAGCGAAAGUGUGGGGAGCGAACAGG
rnacentral:rRNA from 1 species